UUUUUCACAUUUUAGGUUUUCCAUACCAAAUGAAGUCUAGUUGCUCUGAAACUUUUUGGUGAUUUUUUUCUAGAACUAAAGAAGACCAAAAAGCAUCGGAAGAAGGCUGGAUGCCUCACGAGGGGCCCACAAACCAAAAGGACGCGGCCCGGGGGGAACGCCCUGAUGGCUUGUGCCUCCCUCGUGGUCCUUCUGACUCCAGUAUUUGUCUUAUAAAUUCUCAUCUACCAUAAAAAUAGCACAG
rnacentral:lncRNA from 1 species